CGAAGGGGCUAGCGUUGCUCGGAAUGACUGGGCGUAAAGGGCGCGUAGGCGGAUCGGACAGUCGGGUGUGAAAUUCCUGGGCUCAACCUGGGGGACUGCGUUCGAGACGUUGGGUCUAGAGUGGGGAAGAGGGUCGUGGAAUUCCCAGUGUAGAGGUGAAAUUCGUAGAUAUUGGGAAGAACACCGGUGGCGAAGGCGGCGACCUGGUCCUUGACUGACGCUGAGGCGCGAAAGCGUGGGGAGCAAACAGGAUU
rnacentral:rRNA from 1 species